GUGCUUGACUCGGCAGCAGCACAUAUACUAAAGUUGGAAUGAUACAGACGAGAUUGGCCUGGCCCCUGCGCAAGGGUGACACAAAUUCCUGAAGCAUUCCAUAUUUCC
ensembl:snRNA U6 U6 spliceosomal RNA